rnacentral:tRNA from 1 species
UGCCGGUGGGCCCGCUGGCCGCGGGACGCCUGCUGGAACCGGGCAGCCCGGUGUUCGGCGUCGCCGUCCGCCGCCC